GUGCACCAGUCGAGAAACUUUACAAUGUGCGAAAGCACGAUAAGGGAACUCUGAGUGCCUCCUAAGGAGGCUGUUCAGGUGUCUAAAAGCACCUGAAGGAAGGGCUGGGUAAGACCGGUGCCAGCCGCCGCGGUAACACCGGCAGCCCAAGUGGUAGCCACGUUUAUUGGGUCUAAAGCGUCCGUAGCCGGCUGGGUAAGUUCCUUGGGAAAUUUGGCUGCUUAACAGUCAAGCUUUCAGGGAAUACUGCCCGGCUUGGGACCGGGAGAGGUCAGAGGUACUCCAGGGGUAGGGGUGAAAUCCAUUAAUCCUUGGGGGACCACCGGUAGCGAAGGCGUCUGACCAGACCGGGUCCGACGGUGAGGGACGAAGGCUAGGGGCGCGAACCGGAUUAGAUACCCC
rnacentral:rRNA from 1 species